rnacentral:rRNA from 1 species
UACGUAGGGGGCAAGCGUUAUCCGGAUUUACUGGGUGUAAAGGGAGCGUAGACGGCGGUGCAAGCCAGAUGUGAAAGCCCGGGGCUCAACCCCGGGACUGCUUUUGAAACUGCCAGGCUAGAGUGUCGGAGAGGUAAGUGGAAUUCCUAGUGUAGCGGUGAAAUGCGUAGAUAUUAGGAGGAACACCAGUGGCGAAGGCGGCUUACUGGACGAUGACUGACGCUGAGGCUCGAAAGCGUGGGGAGCAAACAGG